rnacentral:tRNA from 1 species
GCGAAGGUGGCGGAAUUGGUAGACGCGCUAGCUUCAGGUGUUAGUGUCCUUAAACGGACGUGAGGGUUCAAGCCCCUCUCUUCGCACCA